rnacentral:rRNA from 1 species
UAGGGAAUCUUCCGCAAUGGACGCAAGUCUGACGGAGCAACGCCGCGUGAGUGAAGAAGGAUUUCGGUUCGUAAAACUCUGUUGUUAGAGAAGAACAGCGCAUAGAGUAACUGUUAUGCGUGUGACGGUAUCUAACCAGAAAGCCACGGCUAACUACGUGCCAGCAGCCGCGGUAAUACGUAGGUGGCAAGCGUUGUCCGGAUUUAUUGGGCGUAAAGCGAGCGCAGGCGGUCAAUUAAGUCUGAUGUGAAAGCCCCCGGCUCAACCGGGGAGGGUCAUUGGAAACUGAUUGACUUGAGUGCAGAAGAGGAGAGUGGAAUUCCAUGUGUAGCGGUGAAAUGCGUAGAUAUAUGGAGUAACACCAGUGGCGAAGGCGACUCUCUGGUCUGUAACUGACGCUGAGGCUCGAAAGCGUGGGUAGCAAACAGG